rnacentral:tRNA from 1 species
GCCUGGUUGGCUCAGUUGGUAGAGCUUUAGAUUCUUGAUCUGCAGAUUGUGGGUUGGAGCUCCACAUCCGGUA